AUGACCUAUGACCUCUGGAAUGACCUUUACACCUCUAAUGAAGUUCACAAAUCUGAACCAACAGCAACCAUGAGCUUCAUCUUCAUCAUCUUCAUCUGGAUGUUCUCCAGCUGUUUCACAGAAUCAGUUGGUGAAAUGACAGUCACUCAGACGCCUGCAGUGAAACCUGUUCAUCUCAGAGACACAGUUACUAUAUCCUGUAAAACCAGUCCUGAAGUUUACCAGGGUUGGAGUGUUCAGCCUCUAUCCUGGUACUUACAGAAACCUGGAGAAGCUCCUAAACUCCUGAUUUAUGCAGCAGACAGCCUCCAGUCAGGAACUCCAUCUAGAUUCAGUGGCAGUGGAUCUAACAGUGAUUUCACUCUGAGCAUCAGUGGAGUCCAGACUGAAGAUGCUGGACAUUAUUACUGUCAGAGUUUACAUUGCAGACCAGAUUCUGAUGGUGAUUGUGUGGGUGAUUUUGUGUUCACACAGUGAUAAAGAGUCGUACAAAAACCUCGGUCAGUCAGAGUCACAGUGACUGAACUGAAACUGCAGCUGCUCAAACACACACACACACACACACACACACACACACACACACACACACACACACACACACACACACACACACACACAC